AUUUAAAUCGCAAAAUUUUAUCAAUUGGCGUAAAUUUGCUUAUUCGUUUGCAGACUAGAAAAAUGGCGAACAGCUAUCAAAAUACUGAUUCAAAAUACACAUCUUUCACUGGACACACAAAUGGGUGUGCGCAGCAAAAUUCAGCCCUAAUGGCGAAUGUAUGCGAACGUUCACCGGGGGAAGAGGUAUGGGACGACAGCUGGCAUGGCAUCCAGACGGCAAUCUGGUGGCUUUAGCAUUAA